GCCGGCAUAGCUCAGUUGGUAGAGCAGCGGUUUUGUAAACCGAAGGUCGGGGGUUCAAGUCCCUCUGCCGGCACCA
rnacentral:tRNA from 5 species